rnacentral:rRNA from 1 species
AACGAACGCUGGCGGCAGGCUUAACACAUGCAAGUCGAGCGCCCCGCAAGGGGAGCGGCAGACGGGUGAGUAACGCGUGGGAAUCUACCCAUCUCUACGGAAUAACGCAUGGAAACGUGUGCUAAUACCGUAUACGUCCUUCGGGAGAAAGAUUUAUCGGAGAUGGAUGAGCCCGCGUUGGAUUAGCUAGUUGGUGGGGUAAAGGCCUACCAAGGCGACGAUCCAUAGCUGGUCUGAGAGGAUGAUCAGCCACACUGGGACUGAGACACGGCCCAGACUCCUACGGGAGGCAGAAGUGGGGAAUAUUGGACAAUGGGCGAAAGCCUGAUCCAGCCAUGCCGCGUGAGUGAUGGAGGCCCUAGGGUUGUAAAGCUCUUUCACCGGUGAAGAUAAUGACGGUAACCGGAGAAGAAGCCCCGGCUAACUUCGUGCCAGCCGCCGCCGUAACAC